UUAGCAGGUCUGACUGCAAGCUUUCCUCUUGUCUGGCCCAGUUAAAUGGAAGUGCCCCUGGGUUGUCAACCAAGCAGACUUGAGGUAAAAGUUUGAGGCUUAGAUAAAAAUUUAUGAAAACAUACUAUACAGCCGCUCCUCGCUUGGCAACGUACUAUUUACCGACGACUUACACAGGCUCUGACCAGUAAUGCAUACCCAAGUGUAUAAGGUGCCCAGAUGUUAUGGCUUAGAUGUCGCUCCAAACAGCUAAUAUCCCAAACCCCUCCUUCAACAUGCAGGCUUUGUACUUCCAACCUCCAGGACUCGAGUCUGGCUAGACCCUUGUAGGUUUGUAAUUUCUUGAUUACAGUAUUAAUUAUCUGUUCACAAAAUAUUACCCUGUUCAACAGCUUGUCCAGUCUCAAAAGCCAUUAAGUCUCCAUUCACAACAAUCUUAACAUGCUCACAUGCCUGCUGCAUAUCUAGGCCCCUUGCACACCCCCCCCCCCUCCUAUCUGUGCUCUGACCUUGUGGUUUUUGUGCUCUUGAUAAUUACCUCCCCCCCUCCCCUCCUA